rnacentral:rRNA from 1 species
GAUGAACGCUGGCGGCGUGCCUAAUACAUGCAAGUCGAGCGAAUCUAAGGGAGCUUGCUCCCGAAGAUUAGCGGCGGACGGGUGAGUAACACGUGGGCAACCUACCUGUAAGACUGGGAUAACUUCGGGAAACCGGAGCUAAUACCGGAUAACAUAUGAGACCACAUGGUCUUAUAUUAAAAGAUGGCUUCUCGCUAUCACUUACGGAUGGGCCCGCGGCGCAUUAGCUAGUUGGUGAGGUAACGGCUCACCAAGGCAACGAUGCGUAGCCGACCUGAGAGGGUGAUCGGCCACACUGGGACUGAGACACGGCCCAGACUCCUACGGGAGGCAGCAGUAGGGAAUCUUCCGCAAUGGACGAAAGUCUGACGGAGCAACGCCGCGUGAGCGAAGAAGGUCUUCGGAUCGUAAAGCUCUGUUGUUAGGGAAGAACAAGUAUCGUUCGAAUAGGGCGGUACCUUGACGGUACCUAACCAGAAAGCCACGGCUAACUACGUGCCAGCAGCCGCGGUAAUACGUAGGUGGCAAGCGUUAUCCGGAAUUAUUGGGCGUAAAGCGCGCGCAGGCGGUCCUUUAAGUCUGAUGUGAAAGCCCACGGCUCAACCGUGGAGGGUCAUUGGAAACUGGGGGACUUGAGUGCAGAAGAGGAGAGCGGAAUUCCACGUGUAGCGGUGAAAUGCGUAGAGAUGUGGAGGAACACCAGUGGCGAAGGCGGCUCUCUGGUCUGUAACUGACGCUGAGGCGCGAAAGCGUGGGGAGCGAACAGGAUUAGAUACCCUGGUAGUCCACGCCGUAAACGAUGAGUGCUAAGUGUUAGAGGGUUUCCGCCCUUUAGUGCUGAAGUCAACGCAUUAAGCACUCCGCCUGGGGAGUACGGUCGCAAGACUGAAACUCAAAGGAAUUGACGG